ACAGCGACAGAGCAUAACAUGUCAGUGAAAAGACUUCGCUCAGCUGAUGUACCGAGUUUCUAAACUUAGCACUUGGCCAUUAACAUUACAGUGUAUUCUGGCAGGAACUAAAUGGAGGCAGGAACUUCCGGACAGGAGGUACAUAACAAAUCGCUUGUUGGCUGAUCAGAGAAUGAAGAUGGUUCACACAGGACAGGAAACGGACUGCAGGAAAAAGGAAGAAGGAAGAGCUGCAGAAUCCUUGUGCUACAAACUGGAGAAAAGUGCAAUGCCGUGAUGAUCACAGAUGGAGACUGGAGUUGUUCUGUUAUUAGUACGAAAUCUUUAUGUUCUUUUUGCUCCCAAACAUUCCCGAUGUGGUUUUGGAUUCUUGCAUGAGCUGUGCAUUAGAAGAGAUAUGGUUAAAACAACCUAUGGCCAGAAGAAACUCCAGUUUCUCCACUUUAAAUCAGAGAGGCAUCUAGCUACUGUUGGAGGAACAUAUAGGAGUGGACAACCUCUGCUGCACAUAUAAUUCGCAAAACAGGUCAGAAACGAAUUUCAGAUGUUACAACUUGCUCAAACUAUUUCUUAUUCCCACAAUAUGAAACUAAGCAAUGUUUGAAAUGAAGUCCGAAUUGCAUAAAACGAAUAAAUGAAAAGAAAUUACCACAUUUUUCACAAAGCACAUAUUUUUCGUAUUAGAUAAAGCUAUCCAAGUUAUCCAAAGUGUAUGAAGUGUUCGCGUUUGUGCAGUAUUACAGUACAGUUAUUUCACAAAGUACAGCCAUAUCCGAACAUAUUUUGCAAAGUACUUAUUUUGAAGAGUUUAUUGUGCGAAUGUUAUUACAAGCUGCAGUGAAAGAGCUUAUUUGUGUAUAAUUACAAGAGCCAUAUUUUUAGUAUGUUUGUGCAGAAUUUGUUGGCAUGGCAGACAGAUUCCAAAACCCUGAGUGCUUAAAACAUAAAUUUAGAGA